rnacentral:tRNA from 1 species
GCCGAAGUGGCGGAACUGGCAGACGCGCACGACUCAAAAUCGUGUGGGCACCGCCCGUGUGGGUUCGACUCCCACCUUCGGCA